AGAGUUUGAUCAUGGCUCAGAAUGAACGCUGGCGGCGUGGCUAAGACAUGCAAGUCGAACGGACCUUUCAAUUGAGUAAUCGAGAGUUAGGUUAGUGGCGAAAGGGUUAGUAAUGGGUAGAUAACGUACCCCGGGCUAUGGGAUAGCUAUCCGAAAGGAUAGGUAAUACCAUAUAACGUCAUAGUGCGAUAGUACUAUGACCAAAGAUUUAUCGGCCUGGGAGCGGUCUAUUCCCUAUCAGCUUGUUGGUGAGGUAAUGGCUCACCAAGGCUAAGACGGGUAGCGGGACUGAGAGGUCGAUCCGCAACAUCGGGACUGAGACACUGCCCGGACCUCCACGGAGGGCUGCAGUAACGAAUAUUGGGCAAUGGGCGAAAGCCUGACCCAGCGACGCCGCGUGUAGGAGGAAGCCUUUCGGGGUGUAAACUACUGUCAGGGGUUAGAAAGUCUGUUUCGGCAGGUUGAUCAACCCCAGAGGAAGUCACGGCUAACUUCGUGCCAGCAGCCGCGGUAAGACGAAGGUGGCUAGCGUUAUUCGGUAUUACUGGGCUUAAAGCGUGUGCAGGCGGAAACGUAAGCGUUUUGUGAAAUCCCUCGGCUUAACCGAGGAAUUGCUUAGCGAACUACGUUUCUUGAGGCAAGUAGGGGUGCAUGGAACUCUUGGUGGAGCGGUGGAAUGCGUAGAUAUCAAGAGGAACGCCAAUGGUGAAGACAGUGCACUGGGCUUGUCCUGACGCUGAGAUACGAAAGCGUGGGGAGCGAACAGGAUUAGAUACCCUGGUAGUCCACGCUGUAAACGAUGUCUACUAGGUUGUGGUCGUUCCGACACGGUCACAGCCGAAGCAAAAGUGUUAAGUAGACCGCCUGGGGAGUACGGUCGCAAGGCUAAAACUCAAAGGAAUUGACGGGGGCUCACACAAGCGGUGGAGCAUGUGGAUUAAUUCGAAGCAACGCGCAGAACCUUACCUGGGUUUGACAUGUAUGGAUUAGCUUCUGGAAACAGAAGUGACGCGGUUUACCGUGGAACUUACACAGGUGCUGCAUGGCUGUCGUCAGCUCGUGUCGUGAGAUGUCGGGUUAAGUCCUUUAACGAGCGAAACCCUUGCCGUUAGUUACCAGCGGAUCAUGCCGGGAACUCUAACGGGACUGCCGGUGUUAAACCGGAGGAAGGUGGGGAUGACGCCAAGUCCUCAUGGCCUUUAUGCCCAGGGCCUCACACGUGCUACAAUGGUGGUGACAGAGCGACGCAAGACCGCAAGGUGGAGCAAAUCGCAAAACAUCGCCCCAGUUCGGAUUACAGGCUGGCAACUCGCCUGUAUGAAGUCGGAAUCGCUAGUAAUCGCGUAUCAGCUAUGACGCGGUGAAUAUGUUCCUGAGCCUUGUACACACCGCCCGUCAAGUGAUGGGAGUUGGGAGUACCCGAAGUCGGUUUGCCAACCUUUUAUUAGGAGGCGACUGCCUACGGUAAGCCCGAUGACUGGCACUAAGUCGUAACAAGGUA
rnacentral:rRNA from 1 species